rnacentral:tRNA from 2 species
AGCAUCACGCCGGAUGAACGGAUUACUCUGAUGAGGUAAAUUAUGGAUUUAUUACCCUGAUGCUUUAAU